rnacentral:rRNA from 1 species
AGUCGAACGGAAAGGCCUCAGCUUGCUGGGGUACUCGAGUGGCGAACGGGUGAGUAACACGUGGGUGAUCUGCCCUGCACUUUGGGAUAAGCUUGGGAAACUGGGUCUAAUACCGAAUAUGACCACUUCUUGGAUGUUGUGGUGGAAAGCUUUUGCGGUGUGGGAUGAGCCUGCGGCCUAUCAGCUUGUUGGUGGGGUAAUGGCCUACCAAGGCGGCGACGGGUAUCCGGCCUGAGAGGGUGUACGGACACAUUGGGACUGAGAUACGGCCCAGACUCCUACGGGAGGCAGCAGUGGGGAAUAUUGCACAAUGGGCGCAAGCCUGAUGCAGCGACGCCGCGUGGGGGAUGAAGGCCUUCGGGUUGUAAACUCCUUUCGCUAUCGACGAAGCCUUCGGGUGACGGUAGGUAGAUAAGAAGCACCGGCUAACUACGUGCCAGCAGCCGCGGUAAUACGUAGGGUGCAAGCGUUGUCCGGAAUUACUGGGCGUAAAGAGCUCGUAGGUGGUUUGUCGCGUCGUCUGUGAAAUCCCGGGGCUUAACUUCGGGCGUGCAGGCGAUACGGGCAUAACUUGAGUGCUGUAGGGGAGACUGGAAUUCCUGGUGUAGCGGUGAAAUGCGCAGAUAUCAGGAGGAACACCGAUGGCGAAGGCAGGUCUCUGGGCAGUAACUGACGCUGAG